rnacentral:rRNA from 1 species
AUUGAACGCUGGCGGCAGGCCUAACACAUGCAAGUCGAGCGGAUGAGAAAAGCUUGCUUUUCGAUUCAGCGGCGGACGGGUGAGUAAUGCCUAGGAAUCUGCCUGUUAGUGUGGGAUAACUCGGGGAAACUCGGGCUAAUACCGCAUACGUCCUACGGGAGAAAGUGGGGGAUCUUCGGACCUCACGCUAACAGAUGAGCCUAGGUCGGAUUAGCUAGUAGGUGAGGUAAUGGCUCGCCUAGGCGACGAUCCGUAACUGGUCUGAGAGGAUGAUCAGUCACACUGGAACUGAGACACGGUCCAGACUCCUACGGGAGGCAGCAGUGGGGAAUAUUGGACAAUGGGCGAAAGCCUGAUCCAGCCAUGCCGCGUGUGUGAAGAAGGUCUUCGGAUUGUAAAGCACUUUAAGUUGGGAGGAAGGGUAUUCACCUAAUACGUGGGUACUUUGACGUUACCAACAGAAUAAGCACCGGCUAACUCCGUGCCAGCAGCCGCCGUAAGAC